AACAGACAGACAAUAACAGACAGACAGACAGACAGUAACAGACAGACAGACAGACAGACAUAAACAGACAGACAGACAGACAGACAGACAGUAACAGACAGACAGACAGACAGUAACAGACAGACAGACAGACAGACAGUAACAGACAGACAGACAGACAGACAAUAACAGACAGACAGACAGUAACAGACAGACAGACAGACAGACAGACAAUAACAGACAGA